rnacentral:rRNA from 1 species
UCUUUUUUGUUAAAAAUAUAAAGUCUAGCCUGCCCAAUGAUAUAUUUAAUGGCCGCGGUAUUUUGACCGUGCUAAGGUAGCAUAAUCAUUAGUUUUUUUAUUGAAAGCUGGAAUGAAGGGUUGGAUGAAAAAAUAGCUGUCUUUAUUUAAUUAUAAUAGAAUUUUAUUUUUAAGUUAAAAAGCUUAAAUUUUUUUAAAAGACGAGAAGACCCUAUAGAGUUUUAUAUUUAGUAUAAAAUAUUUUUUUGGAAAUAAUUUUUUAUUUUUAUUUAAUUAUUUAGUUGGGGUGAUUAAAAAAUUUAUUAAACUUUUUUAUAUAAUUAUAUUUAUGUAUAGUUUGUUGAUCCAGUAUUAUUGAUUAAAAGAAAAAAUUACCUUAGGGAUAACAGCGUAAUUUUAUUGGAGAGUUCAAAUCGAUAAUAAAGAUUGCGACCUCGAUGUUGGAUUAAAA